CAGUAGCCGCGGGAAUACGUAGGUGGCAAGCGUUGUCCGGAAUUAUUGGGCGUAAAGCGCGCGCAGGCGGAUAGGUCAGUCUGUCUUAGAAGCUCGGGGCUUAACCCCGUGAUGGGAUGGAAACUGCCAAUCUAGAGUAUCGGAGAGGAAAGUGGAAUUCCUAGUGUAGCGGUGAAAUGCGUAGAUAUUAGGAAGAACACCAGUGGCGAAGGCGACUUUCUGGACGAAAACUGACGCUGAGGCGCGAAAGCCAGGGGAGCGAACGGGAUUAGAUACCCGCGUAGUCCCUGUCUCUUAUACA
rnacentral:rRNA from 1 species